CAGCAGCCGCGGGAAAACAGAGGGUGCGAGCGUUAAUCGGAUUUACUGGGCGUAAAGCGUGCGUAGGCGGCUUCUUAAGUCGGAUGUGAAAUCCCUGAGCUUAACUUAGGAAUUGCAUUCGAUACUGGGAAGCUAGAGUGUGGGAGAGGAUGGUAGAAUUCCAGGUGUAGCGGUGAAAUGCGUAGAGAUCUGGAGGAAUACCGAUGGCGAAGGCAGCCAUCUGGCCUAACACUGACGCUGAGGUACGAAAGCAUGGGGAGCAAACAGGAUUAGAUACCCCUGUAGUCCCUGUCUCUUAUAC
rnacentral:rRNA from 1 species